AAGAUUAAACUGAAGAGUUUGAUCAUGGCUCAGAUUGAACGCUGGCGGCAGGCUUAACACAUGCAAGUCGAGCGGAAACGAUGGGAGCUUGCUCCCAGGCGUCGAGCGGCGGACGGGUGAGUAACGCGUAGGAAUCUACCCAGUAGAGGGGGAUAGCCCGAGGAAACUCGGAUUAAUACCGCAUACGCCCCAAGGGGGAAAGGCCGGGAUCUUCGGACCGGUCACUAUUGGAUGAGCCUGCGUGAGAUUAGCUUGUUGGUGGGGUAAUGGCCUACCAAGGCGACGAUCUCUAGCUGGUCUGAGAGGAUGAUCAGCCACACUGGGACUGAGACACGGCCCAGACUCCUACGGGAGGCAGCAGUGGGGAAUAUUGGACAAUGGGCGCAAGCCUGAUCCAGCCAUGCCGCGUGUGUGAAGAAGGCCUUAGGGUUGUAAAGCACUUUCAGU
rnacentral:rRNA from 1 species